CCUACGGGAGGCAGCAGUGGGGGAUAUUGCACAAUGGGGGGAACCCUGAUGCAGCGACGCCGCGUGGGUGAAGAAGCGCCUCGGCGCGUAAAGCCCUGUCAGCAGGGAAGAAAAUGACGGUACCUGAAGAAGAAGCCCCGGCGAACUACGUGCCAGCAGCCGCGGUAAGACGUAGGGGGCAAGCGUUAUCCGGAUUUACUGGGUGUAAAGGGGGCGCAGACGGCGAUGCAAGCCAGGAGUGAAAGCCCGGGGCCCCACCCCGGGACUGCUCUUGGAACGGCGUGGCUGGAGGGCAGGAGGGGCAGGCGGAAUUCCUGGUGUAGCGGUGCACUGCGUCGCUAUCAGGAGGAACACCGGUGGC
rnacentral:rRNA from 1 species